rnacentral:rRNA from 1 species
AUGAACGCUAGCUACAGGCUUAACACAUGCAAGUCGAGGGGCAGCAUGGUCUUAGCUUGCUAAGGCCGAUGGCGACCGGCGCACGGGUGAGUAACACGUAUCCAACCUGCCGUCUACUCUUGGACAGCCUUCUGAAAGGAAGAUUAAUACAAGAUGGCAUCAUGAGUCCGCAUGUUCACAUGAUUAAAGGUAUUCCGGUAGACGAUGGGGAUGCGUUCCAUUAGAUAGUAGGCGGGGUAACGGCCCACCUAGUCUUCGAUGGAUAGGGGUUCUGAGAGGAAGGUCCCCCACAUUGGAACUGAGACACGGUCCAAACUCCUACGGGAGGCAGCAGUGAGGAAUAUUGGUCAAUGGGCGAGAGCCUGAACCAGCCAAGUAGCGUGAAGGAUGACUGCCCUAUGGGUUGUAAACUUCUUUUAUAAAGGAAUAAAGUCGGGUAUGGAUACCCGUUUGCAUGUACUUUAUGAAUAAGGAUCGGCUAACUCCGUGCCAGCAGCCGCGGUAAUACGGAGGAUCCGAGCGUUAUCCGGAUUUAUUGGGUUUAAAGGGAGCGUAGAUGGAUGUUUAAGUCAGUUGUGAAAGUUUGCGGCUCAACCGUAAAAUUGCAGUUGAUACUGGAUAUCUUGAGUGCAGUUGAGGCAGGCGGAAUUCGUGGUGUAGCGGUGAAAUGCUUAGAUAUCACGAAGAACUCCGAUUGCGAAGGCAGCCUGCUAAGCUGCAACUGACAUUGAGGCUCGAAAGUGUGGGUAUCAAACAGGAUUAGAUACCCUGGUAGUCCACACGGUAAACGAUGAAUACUCGCUGUUUGCGAUAUACGGCAAGCGGCCAAGCGAAAGCGUUAAGUAUUCCACCUGGGGAGUACGCCGGCAACGGUGAAACUCAAAGGAAUUGACGGGGGCCCGCACAAGCGGAGGAACAUGUGGUUUAAUUCGAUGAUACGCGAGGAACCUUACCCGAGCUUAAAGGGCAGAUGAAUUACGGUGAAAGCCGUAAGCGGCAAGGCAUCUGUGAAGGUGCUGCAGGGUUGUCGUCAGCUCGUGCCGUGAGGUGUCGGCUUAAGUGCCAUAACGAGCGCAACCCUUGUUGUCAGUUACUAACAGGUUCUGCUGAGGACUCUGACAAGACUGCCAUCGUAAGAUGUGAGGAAGGUGGGGAUGACGUCAAAUCAGCACGGCCCUUACGUCCGGGGCUACACACGUGUUACAAUGGGGGGUACAGAGGGCCGCUACCACGCGAGUGGAUGCCAAUCCCAAAAACCUCUCUCAGUUCGGACUGGAGUCUGCAACCCGACUCCACGAAGCUGGAUUCGCUAGUAAUCGCGCAUCAGCCACGGCGCGGUGAAUACGUUCCCGGGCCUUGUACACACCGCCCGUCAAGCCAUGGGAGCCGGGGGUACCUGAAGUGCGUAACCGCGAGGAGCGCCCUAGGGUAAAACUGGUGACUGGGGCU